UACAGAGGGUGCGAGCGUUGUCCGGAAUCAUUGGGCGUAAAGGGCGCGUAGGUGGCCCGGUCAGUCUUUGGUGAAAGCGCGGGGCUCAACCCUGCGUCGGCCAGGGAUACUGCCGCGGCUCGAGCACUGUAGAGGCAGGCGGAAUUCCGGGUGUAGCGGUGGAAUGCGUAGAGAUCCGGAAGAACACCGGUGGCGAAGGCGGCUCUUGGCCUGUUCUUGACGCUGAGGCGCGAAGCUGGGGGAGCAAACGGG
rnacentral:rRNA from 1 species